rnacentral:rRNA from 1 species
GCGGAGGAAAAGAAACCAACAGGGAUUGCCCUAGUAACGGCGAGUGAAGCGGCAACAGCUCAAAUUUGAAAUCUGGCGUCUUUGGCGUCCGAGUUGUAAUUUGCAGAGGGCGCUUUGGCAUUGGCAGCGGUCCAAGUUCCUUGGAACAGGACGUCACAGAGGGUGAGAAUCCCGUACGUGGUCGCUAGCCUUUACCGUGUAAAGCCCCUUCGACGAGUCGAGUUGUUUGGGAAUGCAGCUCUAAAUGGGAGGUAAAUUUCUUCUAAAGCUAAAUACUGGCCAGAGACCGAUAGCGCACAAGUAGAGUGAUCGAAAGAUGAAAAGCACUUUGGAAAGAGAGUUAAAAAGCACGUGAAAUUGUUGAAAGGGAAGCGCUUGCAGCCAGACUUGCCUGUAGUUGCUCAUCCGGGUUUCUACCCGGUGCACUCUUCUACGGGCAGGCCAGCAUCAGUUUGGGCGGUUGGAUAAAGGUCUCUGUCAUGUACCUCCCUUCGGGGAGAUCUUAUAGGGGAGACGACAUGCAACCAGCCUGGACUGAGGUCCGCGCAUCUGCUAGGAUGCUGGCGUAAUGGCUGUAAGCGGCCCGUCUUGAA